CCUCCACUUGAUUUUCCUUCUUCUCCUCACCAUUUCUUCUCCAAAAAAACUCUUUUCUAAGCUUCUCAACCUUCCUUCACUCAUCACCCUCAAUAUUUUCUUAGAUCCUUGUGUUCUUGAGCACUUUUGCCACACACCCAUUUUUUGUGAAACCUAUUUUCAAAUCCAUCUUUUCUUUGCACCAACAUGUCUUCUUCUUCCAAUGGAUCCUCUUUUCUUACUUUUCAAGGCAAGAAAUAUGAUCAAACAUUUGAUUGGAAUGAUGAGGAAGGGCUCCUUCAAGACCCCAAGACCCAUGCUCCAUAUUCUCACAUGGACAUCAAGAGCCUCAAGAGUCGAGGUAGUCUCCAAAUGUUGAAGAGCAUAUGGGAAGCAUUGUCUCCUGCCAUCAAGAAUAUCAUCAAUGAUGCAGGCUUUGGUACUUUCUUUGAAGCUUUACUAAAUCAAGAGACUCAUGAAUACAAGGACCUCCAACUACUCCUCGCUUUGUUAGAACGCUUCUGGGACACCACAUGUACCUUCCAUUUUCCAGGCAUUGGUGAGGUAAUGUUGACACCUUACGACUUUUCCAUCAUCAGGGGCUUGAAGUUGGGUGGUGAGAGAAUCCGUGUCCAUGACUCCCUUUCUUCAAAUGAAAUCAAGAAACUUCUAGGUGUAAUGCCUUCCAAAAUGAGGAGUAAAAAUGUUCAUUUCUCGUGGCUAUGUGAGAACAUUACCAAAUGUGAUACUGUGGCAAAGGGUACCCGCAUGUUCAUGCUUCUUUUCAUUGGGACUUUCUUGUGCCCAGAUUUAGGCAGUACAAUGAAUCUACGUUAUUUAUGGAGCAUUUAUGGAGCUUGAGAAACAUUGAGCAAAUCAAGAAUUAUGACUGAGGCGGUAUGGCUUAUGCUACCCUUUUGCAUAUCAUGACUCAGCUUUCUAAGCGUAGCCUUUCAAGCCUAGGUGGGGCUCCAUUUGUAUGGCAGGUCUGAAUGUAUGAAUACUUUGGAGUUGGCCCUUAAGUUUGGGAGGAGGUUAAUGGCAUUUUUCCAAGAUUUCUCUAUUGGUUGCCCAAACAUCAUUUGUCAACGCUCUCCAAGCGUUCUUUGGAAAUUUGGCGCUUGGUGAUUGACAACUUGACUACUGAUGAUGUUCUGUUGUGAUUUUUCAGAUGUCUUUGAAUCCUUGGGUUGGAUAUGAGGAGUAUGCGGAGUGUGAGUGGGCUUUGGAGCUAUAUAGCCGUCAGGUAUUGUUUGAGUGUGGGCAUGGAAGGUAUUGGUAUCUUGGUAAUCAGGUGUUGCCUUAGGUUCAUCAUGAGUAUCCUCCUACAACAAUUCUAGUUCCUCCUUGUCCCUCCAUCCAGUUGGCUGACCAUCUAACUAAUGAAGAAAUUGCUUAGAUCCGUGUUGGCUUUGUGGUUUCAGGAGUAGCAGGGACUUAUUCUGAAUUUAUUCGAACUCAUCGGCAAGGUUGCCUGGCUGGCAUAUCGACUCCAUCUUCUGAAGGAGAGGAAGAAGAAGAAGAGAUUCCUUCUCCUCACCAUGCUAGUAGCUGUUCUAGUUCUUUCAUGGACACUUGUUCCCACUUUCUGGCAUGGCAAUAUGAAGUGAUGAAUCCUGAUGAAACAUAUAGUUCCAUGCCUUUGAAUAGGCCAGAGCACACACCAAAUGUCAUUUGGCCUGAUCCGCUGUGUUCUUGAAUUUUUAAUUCCUUGUCUUUAUCUCUUCUUGGUUUACUGAAUGGCUCCUGAUCUUGGAAGCAACUGAUUCUGCCAGAAGAACUUUGGAGGACAGGAUUAGAAAUCUUGAACUUGAGAAUCGUCAGUAUGAUCCUCGAUUUUAUGCAAGUCAAGAAGGAAAUACUGAAGGUGGUUCCUUUAAAGGUGGGUGGAGGAGGUCUUUUUGCAAGCAGACCCAGAGUCCCAAUGAUGUUUGAUUUGUAUUUUUAAUUUUUCUUGCAAAACAAAAGGAAGUGUUCCUUAGAUAAUCUUGUAUUAACUUGCAUGUUUAGCUCUUUGUCCUUGGAAUUGCCUUGAUCAUGUAGAGACUUUAAAUGAGACAAGUUUAGA